rnacentral:lncRNA from 1 species
UCCAGUGGCGGAGCCAGGAUUAUAUUGGAGCCUGGGCACAAUUUUAACCGCAAUAUUUUUUUGGCUAGCAUGAAUCAAAUAAGAAAAAAACAGCAAAACAUAAUCAAAUAAGAGAGAUGAAAUAUAACAUACCAAUAGUUACUACAUAAAAUUAGGAGGCAAAUGUCCUUUCCGAGAUCUUUUUGCGGUGAAGGUUCAGAUGAUAUCAACGUCAUCAAGUGACUUGAAUAUUUCCCGCUCGGUGGAGGUUCUUCUACGGCUUCCGAUUGCACAACAUUUGCAUUCUCAAUACUUUUCCUAGGAACCAAAAACCUCCUCAUCUAUGAAAUUAAAUGAUACAAAAUUUAGUCAAACUGAUAAUGCACAAAAUAACAAUUUUAAAACAAUUUUAGUUAGGAUACUGCUGAGAAAAUGCAGAAAAAGAAAUAACAUUAUCACAGAUACUGUGUAACCAUUAAGACUAAUAAUUUAGAAAUGACUUUGAUUCUAGCCAAUAGCCAGAGUUAGUAUGCAUAUAUUUCAACAAUAUAAAUGAAUGGAAACAGUGUUGUCCAGGGCCAAAAAGAAAGCAGUAUUUAUUAAUUGGUCAAAUGGAAGGGCUUUUAAAUUUAAAAUUACAACUUCUCAUAAGUUACUAUCUUCUCAAGCCUAACAGUGAGGUCAGAAGCUGAAACAUAAACAUCUAUGGCCAGGUAAUGGAAA